rnacentral:rRNA from 1 species
UGGGGGAUAUUGCACAAUGGGCGAAAGCCUGAUGCAGCGACGCCGCGUGGGGGAUGAAGGCCUUCGGGUUGUAAACUUCUUUUGCUCUGAACAAGGCAUGCUAAUGGGUGUGUUGAGUGUAGGGGUUGAUUAGCGCCGGCUAACUACGUGCCAGCAGCCGCGGUAAUACGUAGGGCGCGAGCGUUGUCCGGAAUUAUUGGGCGUAAAGGGCUUGUAGGUGGCUGGUUGCGUCUGUCGUGAAAGCUCAUGGCUUAACUGUGGGUUUGCGGUGGGUACGGGCUGGCUUGAGUGCAGUAGGGGAGGCUGGAAUUCCUGGUGUAGCGGUGGAACGCGCAGAUAUCAGGAGGAAUACCGGUGGCGAAGGCGGGUCUCUGGGCUGUUACUGACACUGAGGAGCGAAAGCAUGGGGAGCGAACAGG